UUUUUUUGUGGUCAUCUGGUUUUGGUAUCAGGGUAAUGCUGUCCUCAUAGAAUGAAUUUGGAAGUUUUUGUUCCACUUCUGAUGUUUGGGAAAGUUUUAUAAUAGUUAUCAACUCUUCCUUAAAUGUUUGUUUGAAUUCCCUGUGAAGCCAUCUAGUCCUGGACUUUUGUUUGCUGGGAGUUUUUUGAUUACUGAUUUAAUUUCUUUACUGGUAAUUGUUCCUGAUUCAGUUUUGGUUGGUUAUAUAUUUCUAGGAAUUUAUGCAUUUCUUCCAGGCUGUCCAAUUUGUUGGCAUAUAAUUUUCAUAUUCUCUUACAAUCUUUUGUAUUUUUGUGAUGUCAGUUGUUUUUCUCCUCUUUCAUUGUGAUUUUAUUUGAACCCUCUCUCAUUUUUUUUUCCCCAUGAGUCUGGCUAAAGGUUUAUCAAUUUUGUUGAUCUUUUCAAAAAACCAGCUCCUGAUUUCACUGACCUUUAUUAUUAUUAUUAUUAUUAUUAUUAUUAUUUUGCUUUCUAUAUCAUUUAUUUGCACUCUAAUCUUUAUUAUUUUUAUACUUCUCCUAGUUUGGGGUUUUGUUUGUUCUUUUUGUGGCUCCUUUAGGUGUAGAGUUAAGCUGUUUAUUUGAUAUUUUUCCUGCUUCAUGAGGUUGGCUUCUAUUUGCUGUAAAUCUACCCCCUUAGAACUGCUUUUUCUGCCCCCCCCCCCGAAAGACAUUGAAUCAUUGUAUUUUCAUUUUCAAUCCUCUCCGUUAAAUUUUUAUUUAUUUAAGAUUUUAUUUACUUAUUUAAUCAUGAGAGACAAAGAGAGAGGAUAGAGACAGGCAGAGGGAGAAGCAGGCUCCCCACAGGGAGCCUGAUUCAGGGUUCAAUUCCCAGACCUCAGGACCACAGGAUCAUGACCUGAGCCAAAUGUGGAUGCUCAGCCACUGAGCCACCCAUGUAAUUACCCAUGUAAUUUUUAAUUUCAUCUUUGAUUUCAUGGUUUUCCCAUUCAUUGCUUAGUAGCAUGUUAUUUAACCUCAAUGUAUUUGUAUUCUUUCCACUGUUUUUCUCAUGGUUAAUUCCUAGUUUCACAGCAUUGUCUGAAAAGAUUUAUGGUAUGACUUCAAUCUUUUUGAAUUUGUUGAAACUUGCUUUGUGGUCUACUAUGUGAUCUAGUCAGAAGAAUGUUCCAUGUGCACCUGAAAAGCAUGUGUAUUCUGCUGUUUUAGGAUAGUUUGUUCUGAAUGCAUUUGUUAAGUCCAUCUGGUUCAGUGUGUCAUUCAACACAACUGUUUCCUUGUUAAUUUUCUAUUGGGAUGAUCUGUUUACGUAAAUGAAGUGUUAAAGUCCCUACUAUCACUGUUGUUACUAUCAAUUAGUUCCUUUAUGUUUGUUAUUAACCAUCUUAUGUAUUUUGCUUUCUCAUGUUUGCUGCAUAAAUCUUUUCAAUUGUUUUAUGUUCCUUUUGGAUU
rnacentral:lncRNA from 1 species